rfam:Operophtera brumata OBRT01_Sc04797, whole genome shotgun sequence.
UCACUCUGGUUUCCCUUCAACACGUACAAAUCUUUCGCCUUUUACUAAAGAUUUCCGUGGAGAGGAACACUCAAAUGAGUCUAUAGCUUGUUUUUGAAUGCCCUCGCUUCGGCGGGGUU